AGUAUACACUUAAAACUGAAAUGAUUAACUACAUAUCUACGAUCGUGCCGAAUUUUUGGCAACUGGAUGAGAUAAGCGAAUUUUUUGAUUUUCCAGGCUAACAAAACUGGAGAAAUUAUUUACGAGCUUCUGAAAAUAAACGACAUAGAGCUCAGAAAAGAGAUCAGAGAUUUUUCAGUGCAACUGCUUCAAAAUCCUGUGAGCUUCGAUGCUUGCGGAUUUUUCAAAUUGGAUCAUAAUUUCAUCCAACGAGUGAUCGCGACCAUAACAACUUACCUAAUAAUUCUCAUCCAGAUGAGCGAUCCUCCUAAAAUCAAAUGCGGUUUGAUGACUAACAUCACCCAAGAGUAACCCAGAACUGAAAUAUCGAU